GGUGCCCUGACCCGCUCUGUGUCCCCCAGGUGUCACUCGGGGUUUGUGGGGACGCGCUGUGAGCACGCUGACCUGCUGGCCGUGGUGGCAGCCAACCAGAAGAAGCAGACGAUCACGGCCCUGCUCGUGGUGGCCGUGGUAGCCUCGGCGCUGCUCGUCACCGUCUGCGUCCUGGUCCACUGCUGCCGCCUGCGGAGGCGCUGCCCCGGGUGGUGCCGGGAGCCUGGAGGCCGGCCAGGACAAACCGGGGGGGGCUGCUCAAGGGGGGAGCGUCCUGCUGGCCACCCCGAGACAGGUGUGUGACAGAUCCGGGGACACCCCGAGAGCGGCCCCGCACCCCCAUCCUCUGUUUCGGAUCCUUUUUGGGGCCGUUUCCCCAUUUUUCCCUCAUUUUCCUCGGGGCGCCGCGGGAGCCGAGCCCCGAGUUUUCCCCUUGGCUUUUGGGGUUGUUUUCCUGGGAUUUUCGCCCUCCCCAGGAAUUUGGGGUUUAAACCAGAACCCCCGGCAGGAUGUGGGGCUUUAUUUUUCUACAGAGAAAAAAAAAAACACAACAAAAAAACCAAAAAAAAAAAAAAAAAACAAAAACCCCCCAAAAAAAUUUAAAAAAAAAACCAAAAAAAAACCCCCAAAAAAACCCAAAACCCCAGCUCAUUUUUUGGGGACAAAUCCCAGCUUUUUAUGAAUAAUUAAUGAUCAUAAAUCCUAGGAAACCUCCUCGGGCCAGAGCUCCAACCUCCAGGCCCGGCCUUAAUUCUCCCCGUAGUCCUUUAACCAACCCGGAGCUUUUCCCUCUGUUUUGGGGCUGUUUUUUGGGGUUUGUUGUUGGUUUUUUUUUUUUAAAGUCAUGGUUACUCUCAUGUCUUCUGUAUAUGUUGCACUGAAAGUUAAUAUUUAAUGUUUUAAUUUAUUUUGCGUGGUUUAAAUUAAUUUUGAUUCCUAUAAAUAUGUUCUUGUCA